UACGGAGGGGGCUAGCGUUGUUCGGAAUUACUGGGCGUAAAGCGCACGUAGGCGGUCCGACAAGUCGGGGGUGAAAUCCCGGGGCUCAACCCCGGAACUGCCUCCGAAACUGCCGGUCUGGAGGUCGAGAGAGGCGAGUGGAAUUCCGAGUGUAGAGGUGAAAUUCGUAGAUAUUCGGAGGAACACCAGUGGCGAAGGCGGCUCGCUGGCUCGAACCUGACGCUGAGGUGCGAAAGCGUGGGGAGCAAACAGG
rnacentral:rRNA from 1 species